AAUAACUCAAACUAAAUUAGUGGCAGUUUUGUAAUUAUUCAAAACUAUUUGGGAACGCCUUGAGUAAGGAAGACAAGAAUUAGGUCAGAAUUGUAUAUAAUUUAAAAGGGAAGGACCAAUCUGGUACUUAAGCUGGCAUAAGAUCCAAGAAUCUUGGAGCAAGCCUCCUAUAUCCCUAAACAAGAUUUUAUAAUUCUACUUCACAAACCUUAAUAGCAAGAUUCUAGGAAGCCAUCAGGAUUAAAAAAUUGAAGAAACAAGAGCUCAGCCAAAUAUACUUGUGCAGAGCUGAAGGCGUAUGCACCAUAGGAAGAAGGCCCACAACUAGC